CCUACGGGUGGCAGCAGUGAGGAAUAUUGGUCAAUGGACGAGAGUCUGAACCAGCCAAGUAGCGUGAAGGAUGACUGCCCUAUGGGUUGUAAACUUCUUUUAUAUGGGAAUAAAAUGUUCCACGUGUGGGAUUUUGUAUGUACCAUAUGAAUAAGGAUCGGCUAACUCCGUGCCAGCAGCCGCGGUAAUAAGGAGGAUCCGAGCGUUAUCCGGAUUUAUUGGGUUUAAAGGGAGCGUAGGUGGAUUGUUAAGUCAGUUGUGAAAGUUUGCAGCUCAACCGUAAAAUUGCAGUUGAAACUGGCAGUCGUGAGUACAGUAGAGGUGGGCGGAAUUCGUGGUGUAGCGGUGAAAUGCUUAGAUAUCACGAAGAACUCCGAUUGCGAAGGCAGCUCACUGGACUGCAACUGACACUGAGGCUCGAAAGUGUGGGUAUCAAACAGGAUUAGAUACCCUAGUAGUC
rnacentral:rRNA from 1 species